GGAGUGGUGACGUUUCCUCAUUGGGCGGAAGGUUCGGUGGCACUCCGUCGGUCUUCCAGCUGGUGGGAGUUGGCGACGCGGGGCUGGGCGUUGGGACCCUGUUUUAUCUAGUUCGGGAAGUUGGGUUGUGGGGUCAUACCUGUCUGUCUGCUCCCAGCUUUCUUGGGUUUCUUCCGACGGCGUGGGGCCUCGCUAAGGAAUUCCCGGCCCCUUAGGGCCGCGGCUUUAGCGGUGUCUUUUGCGAGUUCUUCGUAAGUACAUCUUAAAGCUGUCAAGAUGGUUCUAGCAGACCUUGGAAGAAAAAUAACAUCAGCAUUACGCUCGUUGAGCAAUGCUACCAUUAUCAAUGAAGAGGUAUGUAAAAUAUUGUAUGAAAUACAUAUGAUUGUAUAUUAUCACUAGCAUUGGGAAGAUGGCUUAUUAAUAAUCCCUGUGUUUAUAUGUAUUUUGAUAUAGACUUAAUACUUGUAGAUAAAAGCCUAAAAGUGGAU
rnacentral:sRNA from 1 species